rnacentral:rRNA from 1 species
AGUGAACGCUGGCGGUAGGCCUAACACAUGCAAGUCGAACGGCAGCACAGUAAGAGCUUGCUCUUACGGGUGGCGAGUGGCGGACGGGUGAGGAAUACAUCGGAAUCUACUUUUUCGUGGGGGAUAACGUAGGGAAACUUACGCUAAUACCGCAUACGACCUACGGGUGAAAGCAGUGGAUCUUCUGACCUUGCGCGAUUGAAUGAGCCGAUGUCGGAUUAGCUAGUUGGCGGGGUAAAGGCCCACCAAGGCGACGAUCCGUAGCUGGUCUGAGAGGAUGAUCAGCCACACUGGAACUGAGACACGGUCCAGACUACUACGGGAGGCAGCAGUGGGGAAUAUUGGACAAUGGGCGAAAGCAUGAUCCAGCCAUACCGAGUGGGUGAAGAAGGCCUUCGGGUUGUAAAGCCCUUUUGUUGGGAAAGAAAAGCAGCAGGUUAAUACCCAGCUGUUCUGACGGUACCCAAAGAAUAAGCACCGGCUAACUUCGUG